rnacentral:antisense_RNA from 1 species
GCCCGGCUCCAGAUCACCGACCCCCACGAGCGCCGGCCCUGCAUGCCCGCUAUUUUGGUUCCAUCUCUUCUGCAUAUUUAUGCUUGCCUGUUACAUUCCCUGGCCUCUGAGUGUCCUUUGGCAGUUUCCAAAGCAUUUGGGCAAGAAGGAGCUUGGGCAGCUUCACAACAGGUUUAUUGGGCACUUCCUAGCACCAGGCACUGCAAUAAGAAAUGGAGAUUAAACCAUGAAGAAACAUGGCUCUAGCCCUUAGGGAGUUCCCGGUCCUGCAGACCCCACAUAUAGGAACCAUCGGAUCCCUGUGUACAGAUGAAGAACCGAGGCUUGGAAAGCUUAACUACCUUGCUCACAGUCACACAUUAAGGUCUAAAGUGAGAAAUUAAACCAAGUCUUCCAAUCUCAAAGACUUUAAAGGAAAAGCUACAAGCUACAAGAAUAAAGAAGUUCUUCAUGUAUAUUUAUGGGAAAAUUGCUAAGGUGUAGUCUCAAGUCCUAAAAAAGCAAAGUUCA